UCUAGGAAGAGGAAGAAAGAGAAGGCGUAAGAGCAGUGGGAAUGAGAACGUACAGGAAACCUAAUUUAAUUAGUUAUUUACCUCUUUUCUUGAGGUGGAAAUUCAGUGUGGCAUUUCCCGGUGCCUCUCGUUCCUAUUAUUCUUAGGCGCUCCUUCCUAUUCCUUUUAGUU
rnacentral:pre_miRNA from 1 species